rnacentral:lncRNA from 1 species
GGGUCUUCCAGGAUCGCGCAUUAGCGGACGCUGGCUACGGGUGGCCGGGCGGGAUGUAACCGGCUGCUGAGCUGGCAGUUCUGUGUCCCCAGGCUUCGGCCCGGCCGCCGCCGCACAUAAACUGCGAGGAGGAGCUUUACGACUUCUCGGUCUUCGGGGCCGGGCGCAGCAAGGGCCAGACUCUGCGCUAGCAGGCGCUGCGCGCCAACCGGCCGGCCCCUGUCGCAGAAGGUGCAACCGAUCGCACUGUCGCGCAGAAGCUCCUCAAUGGCCAGCGCCAGCUGCAGCCCCGGCUGCCCACUCGCCUCACCUGAGCCUGGGUGGAACAAUCCAAAGUUUUAAUCAAAGAAGGUGGUAUUCAGUUGCUGCUUACAAUAGUUGAUACCCCAGGAUUUGGAGAUGCAGUGGAUAAUAGUAAUUGCUGGCAGCCUGUUAUCAAUUACAUUGAUAGUAAAUUUGAGGACUACCUAAAUGCAGAAUCGCAAGUGAACAGAUGUCAGAUGCCUGGUAACAGGGUGCACUGUUGUUUAUACUUCAUUGCUCCUUCAGGACAUGGACCGUUACAUAACUGAAGACUCCCACCUUCAGGCAGGAUUGGGUAGUACAUGUUUGUAACUACCUGGCAUUGCCUUUUGUUGAGACUUAAACCAUUGGAUAUUGAGUUUACAAAGCAUUUGCAUGAAAAAGUGAAUAUCAUCCCACUUAUUGCCAAAGCAGACACACUCAUGCCAGAGGAAUGCCAACAGUUUAAAAAACAGAUAAAGAAAUCCAAGAACAUAAAGUUAAAAUAUAUGAAUUUCCAGAAACAGAUGAUGAAGAAGAAAAAAAACUUGUUAAAAAGAUAAAGGACCAUUUACCUCUUGCUGUGGUGGGUAGUAAUACUAUCAUUGAAGUUAAUGGCAAAAGGGUCAUAGGAAGGCAGUAUCCUUGGAGUGUUGCUGAAGAUGGAGUCUCGCUCUGUCACCCAGGCUGGAAUGCAGUGGCAUGAUCUUGGCUCACUGCAACCUCCGCCUCCCGAGUUCAAGAGAUUCUUCUGCCUCAGCCUCCCAAGUAGCUGGGACUAAAGUUGAAAAUGGUGAACAUUGUGAUUUUACAGUUUUAAGAAAUAUGUUGAUAAGAACACACGCAGGACUUGAAAGAUGUUACUAAUAAUGUCCACUACGAGAACUAUGGAAUCAGAAAACUGGCAGCUGUGACUUAUCAUGGAGUUGAUAACAAGAAGAAUAAAGGGCAGCUCACUAAGAGCCCUCUGGCACAAAUGGAAGAAGAAAGAAGGGAGCAAGUAGCUAAAAUUAAGAAGAUGGAGAUGGAGAUGGAGCAGGUGUUUGAGAUGAAGGUCAAAGAAAAAGUUCAAAAACUGAAGGACUCUGAAGCUGAGUCUGCAGAUGUGGAUCCUGACUCCUGAGAGAAGUAGCUCACCGUGACGAAGCUGCGUUUGCUUUUAUCGAUUUGCAAAUCAAAGAAGGGGGACAUAUUGGGAGAAGGCCCCCCAAAAUCUGGCCAUAAACUGGCCACAAAACUGGCCAUAAAAUCUCUGCAGCACUGUGACAUGCUCAUGAUGGCCAUAACGCCCACGCUGGAAGGUUUUGGGUUUACCGGAAUGAAGGCAAGGAACACCUGGCCUGCCCAGGGCAGAAAACCACUUAAAGGCAUUCUUAAACCACAAACAGUAGCAUGAGCGAUCUGUGCCUUAAGGGCAUGUUCCUGCUGCAGAUAACUAGCCAGACCCACCCCUUUAUUUCAGGCCAUCCCUUCAUUUCCCAUAAGGGAUACUUUUAGUUAAUUGAAUAUCUAUAGAAACAAUGCUAAUGACUGGUUUGCUGUUAAUAAAUAAGUGGGUAAAUCUCUGUUCGGGGCUCUCAGCUCUGAAGGCUGUGAGACCCCUGAUUUCCCACUUUACACCUCUA